rnacentral:rRNA from 1 species
UACGGAGGGGGCGAGCGUUGUCCGAAGUUACUGGGCGUAAAGCGCGCGUAGGCGGGUGGGUAAGUCCGCUGUGAAAGCCCGGAGCUUAACUCCGGAGGGUCGGUGGAUACUGCCCAUCUUGAAGGUGCUAGGGGGAGAUGGAAUUACCGGUGUAGCGGUGAAAUGCGUAGAUAUCAGGAGGAAUACCGAUGGCGAAGGCAGGUCUCUGGGCUGACACUGACGCUCAUGCACGAAAGCGUGGGGAGCAAACAGG